AUACACGCUGGCGGCGUGCCUAAUCCAUGCAAGUCGAGCGAACAGACGAGGAGCUUGCUCCUCUGACGUUAGCGGCGGACGGGUGAGUAACACGUGGAUAACCUACCUAUAAGACUGGGAUAACUUCGGGAAACCGGAGCUAAUACCGGAUAAUAUAUUGCACCGCAUGGUUCAAUAGUGAAAGACGGUUUUGCUGUCACUUAUAGAUGGAUCCGCGCCGCAUUAGCUAGUUGGUAAGGUAACGGCUUACCAAGGCAACGAUGCGUAGCCGACCUGAGAGGGUGAUCGGCCACACUGGAACUGAGACACGGUCCAGACUCCUACGGGAGGCAGCAGUAGGGAAUCUUCCGCAAUGGGCGAAAGCCUGACGGAGCAACGCCGCGUGAGUGAUGAAGGUCUUCGGAUCGUAAAACUCUGUUAUUAGGGAAGAACAAAUGUGUAAGUAACUAUGCACGUCUUGACGGUACCUAAUCAGAAAGCCACGGCUAACUACGUG
rnacentral:rRNA from 1 species